rnacentral:rRNA from 1 species
UACGUAGGGUGCGAGCGUUGUUCGGAAUUACUGGGCGUAAAGAGUGUGUAGGCGGUGCUCUAAGUCUGGUGUGAAAUCUCCCGGCUCAACUGGGAGGGUGCGCCGGAAACUGGAAUGCUAGAGUGUGGGAGAGGUAAGCGGAAUUCCUGGUGUAGCGGUGAAAUGCGUAGAUAUCAGGAGGAACACCUGUGGUGUAGACAGCUUACUGGACCACGACUGACGCUGAGACACGAAAGCGUGGGUAGCAAACAGG